GUCCUAAUUGCCAGUACCCCCAAAUGCAACCUCAUUUGGGAAUAGUGUCUUUGAAGACAGAAUUAGGUAUGAUAAAACGGGCCUUUAAUCCAAUAUGGCAGGUGUCCUUAUAAGAUGCAGAGAAUCGGACACAGACAGGCAGACAGACACUGGGGAGACAGCCACGUGACGAUGGAGGAGCAGAGCAAAGCAUCUACAAGCGAAGGAGAGCCUCGAUGGCCUGGAAACACCCCCUGUGGGUUUCAGAGGGGUGAGCGCUGCUGACAGCUUGGCCUUGGGCUUCUGGCUUCCAGAACCAUGGGACAGUGACAUCCUGUUGUCUGAGCCACAGUUUGUGGUACUUCACUGUGGCAGCUCCAGGAAGCUGAAGACAACUGCUCUAACCCGAUAAACAUGAUCCGCUGGAAUGUGCCUCUGGGAUAAAAUUUGCUGUGUCAGGGGACGAUUCUUUCCCACUAAAAGAUGAAGAUUAAAGUCCAGCCUGGAAGAGGAACCAAGGUCAGACGUCGUUCUCCCCUCUGGUGACGAGAUCGUGCAGGCUCUUGAGGCUGCUUUUGUCUGCUCCAGCUUUGUCGCUUUAAUCCCCCUGAAGACACGCGCCCUCCCACCGACAGAGCCACCGUUCUCUCCGUGGUCUGCGUACAAACCAAUGUCCUGAUCACCAGGUCCUAGGAUGAGACAAGACGAGCCUGCCCACGAGUCCCCUCCCGGGGCCCCCCGGGCCAGCUGUGAGUGUUUCUUUGGCAGUGUCUUAGCUGGUUGUUGUGAGUAAUAGUGAAGGAAGCAAUCAGCAAGUCUACUGCCCUAGAAGUGUGGCACGUUGGCGGCCGAGAGGGAGGGGAAGGCAGGUGGUGCAGGGCUGUUGCGAGAAGUUCCGCUCCAGGAUGCCGGUUGGUGAGUGCUGCUGGGGGGCAGCUGGAGGGCCCCUGUGAAGGCUGAAGGAAAAUGGCACAGGGGCCGGGCCAUGGAGGGCUCCGGCAAGGGUGGGAUGGCGGGCUUCUGGCUGGGGCAGAGUUUGCCCAUCAGGCUGAUAAUUCCAGCAUUUACAGGACACUUUCUACUCUGGCAGCCUUGCCCUGAGUGUUCUAAAUAUCAUAGCUCAUGAGCUAGAGUCCCUUAUCCCCAUCUUACACAGACAAACUCAGAAGCACAAAGAGAAUAAUUAACUGCAGACAUAGUGAAUAGAAAAGGGGGUGGGUUUGAAUCUGAACAGAUUCUCUUAGCCACUGGCUCGGGUCCUCCGAGAGGGGCCUGGGUGGGUUUUGCUCCCCAUGGACCUGAUUUGAAUGUGAACCAUGCACACGCUGUCGCACCCAUGAGACAAAUCCUGAUUGCAGUCAUGAAGCUGGAGAAGGCGUCUGCCCGAGCAGUGGAGAAGUCUCCACACUGGGGAGAACUCUUCUUUUCAGUCAAAGCCAAGCCCAGGAUAUCCACGGGCAUGAGAAGCUGGUGGUGGUUUCUGUCCUUGGCCUAUAAGAAAGCUUCCUCCAAGGGGACUCGGCCGAGAUGAGAGUCAAGUUCUCUGGGUCCCACCAGCUCCGCCUACAGAAGACAACUUUGGGUCUACCGAACCUCAGUUCAGUCCAGCUGGAUUGUGUGGCAGUGGGAACGGCACCCAAGGCCCGAGGGUGGAGCAUGAAGACGCAGUGGUGCUUCUCCAGGUCUGGGACAGGACACAGCCAUGGUCUCUGGUGAGCCUGGGAUAAGCCACGAGUGGGGCCUGUACUUCGGCAGACCUCACGGGAGCAGCCUUGGCCUUGGCUUUCUCCCUUCAGCCUCUUGGCACUCUGUGGCGUUGAGCCAGAGGCACUCCAGUUCUCCAUCCCGCUCUUUUCUCCAUGGUUCUCCAAUCUGGCACCUGCAGAAAUUGAUCCUAGCCUGAGAGGUGAUGCCGAAGGUCAGUGCCCUGCUCCUCUGACCCCACUGGCGAAGACGACCGCCAGAGUCAGGUGGUGCCACUGGUGGUGGGGCCUCCAGCACCUGCUGUGACCCCCGUGCUCAGCAUGCCCGCGUGCUGCUCCCUGUCAAGCCACUGCCCAGGCACCACCUGCCCACACCACCUGCCUAUCCCAGUGCUUCCCAGACUUGGAGGGGAGAGGAGCCUGCUUCUGUUCUGACCACUUUAUGAAGGUCAGAAGGCGCCUUCGAGAGUUUUUCUGGGAUUCGGAGACCAUCGUUGGCCUUGACACACUCUGGCCACUAAGACCCCCCUCCAUUCUAAGCCUGUUCUCCCUUUCUCUUACGACUGGAGAGCAAAGCGAGCAGCCGGGCUCCGUCGGCAAAAUCUCAUCCCUACUGGAAUUGUUCUGUUGUCCUCAAAGAGGCUGGAGCUCCAAGGGGUCGCUUCAGAGAGGGUCCUUCUGUGACACCCGUUGGAUUGACCGAGCCCACCCGGCCACAAAUUCCCCUCUGCUCCCCGGGCCCACUGAGCUGGGCGUGGGCUGGAGUGGGGCUGGUGAAACGCCCGGAAUGCUGGCUGGAAUUACAGACCAACACUGAUAACUCCUUACGGGAGUUUUUUUCCGAGGCAGCAUUUAGGAUUGCUUUAGAUCUGAAGUCUUUACAUUUUCCCCAAUUUUAGGCAGAAGUAAAGAAUGUCUUUUUUUUCCCUUGACCACUGAUUUUUUUCCAGGUACUGAACUUUUAGGGGCCACUUGCUGGGUUUAUGAACUCACUAGCCUAUUAAUUUGAGUUCAGGUGAAAAAAGUACAAAUAACCUCUUUUUCUAUCUAGGUUUGAUUUUAGUUAUGCCAACAUAAAAACAAGAGAGGUUGUCAUUCUCAGAUACAGUUCACCAGUGGAAGUUCCUGGGAAAUUAAUAAAGAAAUGGAGACAGCAGACAAUUUUUGUUUCAAUUUAGGUCUUUGAUAAAACUAAUGUUCAUGGUAAUUUGAUUUGCUAUAGCAGACUUUAGAGCAGCCGGGAUGUAUUUUGUCACUUUUAUAUCUCACAGUAGAAGAACUGUAGAUACUCAGACAUUCUUUUUUACUGGGCUCUUUGCCUUUCUAGAAAUUCUGGAAGAUGAGAGGAGCAGGGUUGGCUCCAUGGGGUGAUUUUAGAAUGGGUUAGGACAUGAGGAGCUCUGCACAUACACAGCUGCUGUGAUUUGGGGAACUGGGGUGAAGGUCCAAUAAGUUGAGAACAUCCAGGCCCGUGAGAGUGUACUUCUGCUCUUGGGGAUGUGUGAGUAGAUUCUAGACAGCAGUUUCUGAGUUGGAGAGAAAGCUGGAGGUUUUCAUGUUUGACUUGACUAUGGAGGCAGUGGAGUUAGAUGCAAAUUUUACAUUCUGGGGGGAAGUGCUUGACUUCUCGACUGUGAGGCAAAGUGAGUUUUUAAAAAUAUUUAUUGACGUCCAUCACUGGAUGAACGGAUAAACAAAAUGUGCUGUAUCUACACAAUGACAUAUUAUUCAGCUGCAAAAAGGAAUGAAGUUUGGAUACAUGCGACUAUAUGGAUGGACCGUGAAGACAUCACAUUGAGUGAAAUAGGCCAGACACAAAAGUACGAAUAUUGUAUGAUCUCAUUUAAAUGAAAUAAUUAGAAUAUGCAAAUUCAUAGCACCAGAAAUUAGAAUUUAGGGGCCAGGGUCAAGGUAAGGAAUGAGGAGAAAUCCUUAACUGAUGGAGAGUUUCUGUUUGGGGGAUGGGAAGGUUCUGGCAGUAGAUGAUGGUGAUGGUAGCAAACAUCAUGAAUAUAAUUAACAUCACUGAAU